GUUUGGCCGUUGACGUGGUACGAAAGUGCUCCCGACUCGGGGGUGACAAUACCGUAGCCUACCUUACAGGCCGAUAACCUCUGGACACCCGGGGCUCAUACCCGAUAAUCUUUCAUUCUGGUUGAAAACUGAAAGACGCGGCCUACAUUCCAUGGACGGGUUUUGGGAUAUAUCCCCUUGGCGGGUGCACCGCCAGGACCUGUAGCCCACUUAACGGGUUUACGGGGCUGACUUUUACCGGUUCCCAACCUUCCUGCGGUGUAACCGGGAAUUCCUAAGGCCCAAUCUUAUGGCAACUCCUCAGGGAAGACUGAUUUCCGGGACUUAACCAUCUUUUAAAGAAGACUUGCCCAACCAUUUGCCCUGUUUCCCGGGCCCUGGAAAACCCGGGUUUUUUGGGCCAAAGGGAUGGAAACCUGGGAGGGUUUGGUCGGUAUAAUUGGCCCCAGGUCCCCGUUGGGGUCCCUAAUCAUUGUGUAUUUGGAACGGGUUUCAAAUGGGGGUUUUGGGGUUAAUGGUUUGGGGGGAAAACCCCAAAUUCAUAUUUUGGGGGGUUCCCGGGGUUA
rnacentral:rRNA from 1 species